rnacentral:rRNA from 1 species
CAGCAGCCGCGGUAAUACGAAGGGGGCUAGCGUUGUUCGGAUUUACUGGGCGUAAAGCGCACGUAGGCGGACUUUUAAGUCAGGGGUGAAAUCCCGGGGCUCAACCCCGGAACUGCCUUUGAUACUGGAAGUCUUGAGUAUGGUAGAGGUGAGUGGAAUUCCGAGUGUAGAGGUGAAAUUCGUAGAUAUUCGGAGGAACACCAGUGGCGAAGGCGGCUCACUGGACCAUUACUGACGCUGAGGUGCGAAAGCGUGGGGAGCAAACAGGAUUAGAUACCCGCGUAGUCCCUGUCUCUUAUAC